GAGGGAGACAUGGUUGGAUCAGUAGACAUGUCCUUAUGAUGUGGGCAAGGCCAUUUCCUUUGAGGAGCAAUUCUGUCAACUCUAGGCCACCGCAUAGCCUCGCAGCCAAGAGCAGGGACUCUAGAAUCAGGCUGUACUUGCUUUCACCCAGCUCUGCCCUUACCAGCUGUGUUACCUUGGGCAAAUUACUUAGCCUCUCUGUACCUCGGGUUCCUCAUCUCUAAAAUGAGGAUAAUCAUAUUACUGACUCACAGGCCUCUUACCAGGAUUAAGUGAGUUAUAUAAAACACUUAAUGACGGGCACAUGGCAAACACAAGUGUGUAUUAAAUGACUCUUUUACAUCUAAUGGGCUGACUCCUCCAUUCAUUCUCCACACAUUUGCUGUUAUAUUGCCAUGUGCCAGAAAUGAAAAAGACAGAUUGCCUGACUGAAAUAAUGGCAGGUGUUGUUGUGUGAUGAUGGCACCCCACCCUCAUCUCAGAAUGAUCUUCCAGGCUGUGCCUGAGGCUGCAGGACUGCCCGGGAGGGCUUGG
rnacentral:lncRNA from 10 species